rnacentral:snoRNA from 1 species
UAUUGUCCAUGAUGAUGCAAAGUUAUCCCUGCCCGAAGACAAAGAAAGUGUGGAAUAUGGAUGUGUGGAAAAUGGAUUUCUGAAACUGUU